GAUGAAGAACGUAGCGAAAUGCGAUAAGUAGUGUGAAUUGCAGAAUUCAGUGAAUCAUCGAAUCUUUGAACGCACAUUGCGCCCUUUGGUAUUCCUUAGGGCAUGCCUGUUCGAGCGUCAUUUAAACCUUCAAGCUCAGCUUGGUGUUGGGUGACUGUCCGCUUCACCGCGGACUCGCCUCAAAAUUAUUGGCGGCCGGUACAUUGGCUCUCGAGCGCAGCAGAAACGCGUAACUCGAGGUCCUCGUGCUGGCUCCCAGAAGCUAUCUUCACAAUUUUGAACUCGGAUCAGGUAGGGAUACCCGCUGAACUUAAGCAUAUCAAUAAGCGGAGGA
rnacentral:misc_RNA from 1 species